UGGAAUUGUGAAGAAGGAGCAUAUUAAAAUUCAUGGUUUCUGAGCAGCUGGAAACUUACUAGUGUUAAAGUUGUAUCUGGCUCAUUUCGAGCUGGGUAUAUAUAUAUGUGAUUGUGGAAUUUCUUGUGGUCUGGAAGUAUUUUCAACAGUUGUGAUGCAGUAUUAUGGAAUUUAUGACAUGCGGUAUUAUGGAAUUUAUGACAUUAUGUGGUGUUUGCUUCAAUAAUAUGUAUCAAAGGAGUUUUAUAAGACUUCAUUUAACAUUUCAGAUGCUUGGAUGUGUUACUUUAUGUUUACCGUGCUAUGUUUUUAUACCAGAUUCAAGAUUUUAGAUGCC
rnacentral:lncRNA from 1 species